rnacentral:piRNA from 1 species
UGAAACUGGUGUUUGAGGAAACGACUUGU